GACGAACCGUGCAAACGUUGUUCGGAAUCACUGGGCUUAAAGGGCGCGUAGGCGGCUUGACAAGUCCCGGGUGAAAUCCCUCGGCUCAACCGAGGAACUGCCUUGGAAACUGUCUGGCUUGAGGCCGGGAGAGGGUAGUGGAAUUCCCAGUGUAGCGGUGAAAUGCGUAGAUACUGGGAGGAACACCGGUGGCGAAGGCGGCUACCUGGACCGGUUCUGACGCUGAGGCGCGAAAGCGUGGGUAGCAAACAGG
rnacentral:rRNA from 1 species